rnacentral:lncRNA from 1 species
CAUGAACACUCUUCUACCCUAUUUUAAUUUUACCUUUAUUCUAGUUUGAUGUUGAAGAUGUCAGACGUAUUUUACAGUGCUUAGCUCUUAUGAGCUAAAUAUUGAAUAUACUAGUUGCUUUUUUAAACAUUUUUGGAGCCACAAAGAUAUGACUCUUAUAUUGUCACACACAGUGGAAAGUUAUGGUGAUGCUUGUUUUUGAGUCCAUGUAACUAAAAAGGUAAACAACUAAAAUUCUGCAUUUUGUUGAAGUUUGAAUCUUAGCAGUUGAGUGCAGUCUGAAAUACUGGGUGCACGAAGACUGUAUUGUGAUGGCAGAAAGUCAACCAAAGUAGCUUAGACGAAAGGAAACUUCAUUGGCUCUCAGCCCCAAACUGUGGAAAGACAGGGGAGCCGGAGUCACAGGGCUGCCAGGACACUCCACUCCCCACCAUGUGUUUGUAGUCUCUGGUAUGUGGCUCCAUCCUUUGGGCCUGUCCCUGUAGACCAGCUCCACCUGAUGACAGCUCCCAACUGCAUGGCCCCCCAGCAGGAAAGAGGGGUCAUGCUCUUCACUCACUUUGAACUCAGAAACUCCCAGGAAAGGCCUCUGAUAGGCCUAGCUCAGAUCAUAUGGCCUCCCUGUGGCCAGGGUGGUGGGGUACUAUGAUUGGAGGAGGGAGAUCUCUUCAGGAGAAGAGAGGGCUGCUGUCAUGGACCCAAAAACAAAGCAGCCACCCAGGCCAACCUUGACUCAGUCAGCCGUCCUUUCCCCCAGAUGACCCCUACAUGCCUUAAGGCCUCUCAUAGACACAGUCACAAACCUGGGCAUCCUGCUCAGUAAGCAUCACCCCAGGGUUCUGCCCAGCUCUGAGUCCAGAUCUCUAGGUCACAUCCAUUCCUCUAGAGGCCAGGCGUGGCUCUGCAGAACAAAGCGGCCUAUGGCCUCAGUGCCCAGUGAGGGAGGCAACCGCCUACUGGGGGCAAAGCAUACAAGGGCUCCAGCCCACACCGCAUUUCACAUCACGGGAAGGGACUAGAGAGUUGAUUGAUCCCUUGGCCAAUCUCGUGACCAAUGUUCUUGCUGCUAGGACUCUUUCCUAGAGGAAUAUUGGAGAAAAUUUUUCCGCUGGGGUCUUAUCACCUCAUUGGUCCAUGCACUACUUCAUUUUUGUUCGUGCAGUCUUAGAGAGUCCUGGAGGUUGUCAGGGGCUGAGAACAGACCUCUUAAACCUUAUUUGGCCUUUCAUAGAUUUCAUGUGGGGAGGGAGUCCAUAGUCCACCCUCUCUCCAGAUGUCAGCCACAUGGCAUCUAAGAACCACAGGAAGUAGGGCUUCCAAGAAGGGACUUCUGGUCUACCCUAGCACGUGGCGUCCCCCAGCAAGGGCCUGGACCAGCCCAGAUCAGGGGAGGAGCUCAAGGCACUGUCAGGGAAGUGGGUCAACCAUGGAGACAGGGCAUUGAGAAGGUGCCAACACCUGUAUCAAAACUCUUCUGGAGGUUAUUAGUGCAUUUCUUUGUUCACCUUUGGACAUGCAGGAUGGCCAGACACCCGAUGUGUGGCUUGUGGACCCCAGCAAACCACAAUGCAAGAUUCUCCAAACCCCUAUUGCCACCAACUGAGUAAAUACGCUUGGCACAAAAUGGGCUACUGUCUUCCUGGUGCUGUAAGAGUUGUGUUUAAUGAAAUACCAAGUCAUCAUUUGAUUCAUUUGACACGGCCCCGAAGUUAUGUAAGAUGAGUUAACCUGCAGCGCUGCCACAUGUUCUUGUGAGAAGUUAAACAAGGAGAGGAAAACAGGAGGGAGGAAGCGGUAACUUACCAACUUCCUCCCGUCCGAAGUCCUUGAUUCCAACUCUUUCCUUCGAAGAACAGACUUUGUGAUAACCUUUACUCUUGAUUGCUACGUGACAGCAGUGGCGGGGUGGGGGGUUGUAAAUGGCACAGCGGCGGGUGCGGCGAAAUUCGGGGUGCGGCCCUAAGCCACACGACUUUCCGCUGCAUCGAGAGGGUUGUGCAUGUGCUCAGCUGAGCCUCGGUGCUUGGAGCAAGCGUGUGCAACCCCAAGGCCCCCGACCGCGACUCGCUGCUAACAUUCUGGCUUCACCGAAAGCCAGUGAGUGGUUAAACACUGACUUCUGACCCCUGCUCCUCCGGCGAUCUGUCUUGCCCCUCGCAUUCCUGCGGGUCCCGGGCUGGGGGACGCUGCCUACGUGCGGCGGCUGCCCUUGCGCGGCCGAAACGCCGGCUGCUUCCUGGAACGCGGUGCAGAUAAGAAGCCGCUGCCGGGCUCGGGUUUCAGAAGCGCGCCACCGCGGGUUACAAAACCCUGUGUCAUAAUUUCACUUCGGAUUUUUUUUUUUUUCUUUCCUAGUGCUGGCUUCCCGCAGAAGGACGUUUUGUGUGUUAGGUCCAUGUGUGCGUGUGUAUUUCCUUUUGGUAAUUAUUUUGGAAAACGUUCAGAGGCUAAAAAUAGAGAAGCCAGAAGCCUCCUUGCUGCGCGACUCGCGGCCCCAAGCUCUCCAGCGCACAGGGUCCUGCUGAGACACAGCGACGACCACCGUGUGUCCCCGAGUGCCCGAGCCCCGUGCCGGGCCUGGCCGCUGAGGACGCGCUCCCCGCCACCGGCUCAUUUUCUCGGUUCUAAAACCUUCAAUGCCCGUCGCUAGCAACUUAAUCUGCGCUCUAACUCGCAGAAUUCUUUUGACCUGUUGGAGAAAAAUAGCAUUUUAAGAUGUGGGUUAUUCAAGAGGGUGGAGUCGGCUAAGUUUAGUGGACGCUAAAAAUAGCCCAGCGGUGCGGGCGGGUCAGGCCUGGGGGCGCCAGGACCUCCGCCCUCACCCUGCCCCCUACGGGCCUACGAGCCGCAGCCCUCCCAGGGCCUGUGCGUAAUUCUAGCCAAGGCCCAGUGUCAUUUCCAAGAGGUGCCUCUCGGCCGGGUUACUCAUAUGUCAGAUUCCCAUUCUCACGUUGUGUUUCACGCAGCAACUGCAUUUCCAAAGAAAAGCGUGAGUCACUACCAAGUGGCUGCAGAGGGAGGGGAGGGCCACCAUACACCGGAAGAAAGGGGGGGGGGGAAGGGGCCUUUUUAUAGCGUUCUGAGCUGGCUUUCUUUUCCAUAGGUUAAUUUUUAUCUUAACUACCAAACUUAGGCUGGAUCGCCUUUUUAUAAGAAAUCUAUUUAAAUACAAGGGAUUAUUUGAACUUCUUUUUAAAAAGCCAAGGGCAUUUUUUGUGUGGUUCUCAGCUUAUAAAUAAAAUAUAUUAAUAGUUGUUUAAUGGGCAUUUAAAAUGCCAACUGCCUGUGACUG